rnacentral:snRNA from 1 species
GGUAAUAUAGGAUUGGAGGUUUU